AAUCAGAGUCUGUUUAGAAGAGUGAAGACCAUUCAGAAUUAUCGAGGCACCAUCAGAACAAUGAUCAGCUAUCAAAACACAUGGCCACCAUGAGGGUGCAGCAGUAUUUCCAUGCAAUGUACCUCAAAUAGACACAGGUGGUAGUUCACAUCUUCAAGGUCAGAAUUUGUACUUGCGUCUUGCAGACACAAAUUCUUGGGUGCAACAACAGAGAUGCUGGACAGAGGAUGAAGCAUAUCAAGGGGACACCCAUGUUAACAAGAUCCUUCACCAAGACCUGGUCGUUCUUGGUUUGUUGGUGCCGGAGCCUGUGGAUCAGGUCAGUGACAACUUCAUUGAGGACACCACCGUACGCCUCCACUUCCUUUGGUUUCAACAUGUGUUUGCUGAGCAUGCUGCGGAGCCUCUGCCACUCCUCUCCUUCCCUGCAAGAAAGAAAGCCCUUAACACAGCAGAACUAACAGCAAUGGCCAAACAGCUUGCUGCUUACAAGGUCAGAAGGUCACAAGCUUUUGGCAAAGGACUGAAAGCAACACGCAAAUUAAUCACGACUAAGAAAGAAAAUCACCAACUGUCUCUGGGUCAUGUGGCUGGCAACAGAUCCAUGGAAAUGUUAAAAACCUCCAGGAAUGGCCAGGAAUCAGCAGAUAGUAGUGACCCUAUGUGAUUACUGUCACCCCAUGUUAACUUAUCAAUGCAGUAUUCCUGUUCCCAAGGAGCAAGUACUGUAGAAGAGUGUGGAAGCUAGUAAACCUUGGUUUCAAUUGAUCAAGAGGUUAUUAUUUCCGUAGCUAUUGCACUGUCAAUGUUUUACAGUCAAGACUUAAGGGGCUAAUUAGCCUCCUCAUGUUCCUGUGCUUAAGUCAAUCAGCUUUGAUCAAUGUUGAGCGAUGUCUUCCUACCGUCAUUUGCCUUCAAACUAUUGAAACUGUCAUGUAGGUCAAUGUGGCAGUCAUUUAUGCACAGCAAGAUCCCACAACAUGGAAGGAUAAGCAGUGAUGUCUGUUCAAUAAGGGAUGUUGGCCAGGAAACCAUGAAAAUUCCUUGUUGUUCUUCAAAUUGUGCCAGGAAAUCUGAACCAAUGAAAUAUACUUCUGUGAAGCAACCUGAGAUAUUAAAUCAAACCACUAUAAAAA